GGUUAAGCGACUAAGCGUACACGGUGGAUGCCCUGGCAGUCAGAGGCGAUGAAGGACGUGCUAAUCUGCGAAAAGCGCCGGCGAGGUGAUAUGAACCUUUGACCCGGCGAUGUCCGAAUGGGGAAACCCAGUGUGAUUCGUCACACUAUCGUUAACUGAAUACAUAGGUUAACGAGGCGAACCGGGGGAACUGAAACAUCUAAGUACCYCGAGGAAAAGAAAUCAACCGAGAUUCCCCCAGUAGCGGCGAGCGAACGGGGAGCAGCCCAGAGUCUGAAUCAGYUUGUGUGUUAGUGGAAGCGUCUGGAAAGUCGCACGGUACAGGGUGACAGUCCCGUACACGAAARCACACAGGUUGUGAACUCGAAGAGUAGGGCGGGACACGUGGUAUCCUGUCUGAAUAUGGGGGGACCAUCCUCCAAGGCUAAAUACUCCUGACUGACCGAUAGUGAACCAGUACCGUGAGGGAAAGGCGAAAAGAAC
rnacentral:rRNA from 1 species